AGCAUGAAUAUGAUUCAUACUGAGACCAUUCAUAACUCGGGUACUGUGUGCUAAUUAUCUUGGUAUUCCUGGACAUAAAAAUGCUCAAAAUCUUUAAGUAGUAAAUGAAUAAAUCUGACUGGUCUACACAACGUGAAAGGGGAAUUUCAGGGGAUGAGGCUGCAUCACAAGAGUCGUGAAUACAUGAAGGGAUUUGGGUAACACGAGGAUAAGAAGGCAGAGAAGGGUUUUAUUCAAGAGCCAAAGAGGACCAUUAUCAGAUU